CCUACGGGCGGCAGCAGUGGGGAAUAUUGCACAAUGGGGGAAACCCUGAUGCAGCAACGCCGCGUGAAGGAAGACGGUUUUCGGAUUGUAAACUUCUGUUCUUAGUGAAGAAUAAUGACGGUAGCUAAGGAGCAAGCCACGGCUAACUACGUGCCAGCAGCCGCGGUAAUACGUAGGUGGCAAGCGUUGUCCGGAAUUACGGGGUGUAAAGGGAGCGCAGGCGGGAAGCCAAGUCAGCUGUGAAAACUACGGGCUUAACGUGUAGACUGCAGUUGAAACUGGUUUUCUUGAGUGAAGUAGAGGGUGGCGGAAGUGGGGGUGUAGCGGGGAAAGGCGUAGGUAGUCGGAGGAAGAGCGGUGGCGAGGGCGGGCAACUGGGCUUUAACUGACGCUGAGGCUCGAAAGUGUGGGGAGCAAACAGGAUUAGAGACCCCAGUAGUG
rnacentral:rRNA from 1 species